CAGGAAAGAUUAAAAGAAGUAAAAGGAACUCGGCAAACUCUACCCCCGCCUGUUUACCAAAAACAUCACCUCUAGCAUUACUAGUAUUAGAGGCACUGCCUGCCCAGUGACAUGUGUUCAACGGCCGCGGUACCCUGACCGUGCAAAGGUAGCAUAAUCACUUGUUCUCUAAAUAAGGACUUGUAUGAAUGGCCACACGAGGGUUUAACUGUCUCUUACUUCUAAUCAGUGAAAUUGACCUAUCCGUGAAGAGGCGGAUAUAACCAAAUAAGACGAGAAGACCCUAUGGAGCUUCAAUUUAAUAAUGCAAACUAAUAACUUAAAAACCAACAGGCACCAAUCCACCGUGUAUGUAUUAUAAACUUUGGUUGGGGUGACCUCGGAGCAUAACAUAACCUCCGAAAGACAUAUACCAAGACUUAACCAGUCUAAGUAAACUUAUAACCAUUGACCCAAUAACUUGAUCAACGGACUAAGUUACCCUAGGGAUAACAGCGCAAUCCUACUCUAGAGUCCAUAUCGACAGUAGGGUUUACGACCUCGAUGUUGGAUCAAGACAUCCUAAUGGUGCAGCCGCUAUUAAGGGUUCGUUUGUUCAACGAUUAAAGUCUUACGUGAUCUGAGUUCAGACCGGAGAAAUCCAGGUCGGUUUCUAUCUAUUAAAUAUUCCUCCCAGUACGAAAGGAUAAGAGAAAUAGAGCCUACUUCACAAAGCGCCCUCAUAAAUAAAAUGACUAUUAUCUCAAUUUAACAAACUACUACCUCAACCCAAGAACAGGGC
rnacentral:rRNA from 1 species